rnacentral:rRNA from 1 species
GACGAACGCUGGCGGCGUGCUUAACACAUGCAAGUCGAACGGAAAGGCCCUGCUUUUGUGGGGUGCUCGAGUGGCGAACGGGUGAGUAACACGUGAGUAAACCGCCCCUGUCUUUGGGAUAACUUCAGGAAACUGGGGCUCAUACCGGAUAUGAUCUCCUGCUGCAUGGUGGGGGUUGGAAAGUUUCGGCGGUUGGGGCUGGAUUCGCGGGUUAUCAGCUUGUUGGUGUGGUAGUGGAAUACCAAGGCUUCGACGGGUAGCCGGCCUGGGAGGGUGGCCGGCCACAUUGGGACUGAGAUACGGCCCAGACUGCUACGGGAGGCAGCAGUGGGGAGUAUUGCGCAAUGGGCGGAAGCCUGAUGCAGCAACGCCGCGUGCGGGAUGACGGCCUUCGGGGUGUAAACCGCUUUCGCCUGUGACGAAGCGUGAGUGACGGUAAUGGGUAAAGAAGCACCGGCUAACUACGUG